rnacentral:rRNA from 1 species
AUUGAACGCUGGCGGCAGGCCUAACACAUGCAAGUCGAGCGGCAGCGGGUCCUUCGGGAUGCCGGCGAGCGGCGGACGGGUGAGUAAUGCCUAGGAAUCUGCCUGGUAGUGGGGGAUAACGUUCGGAAACGGACGCUAAUACCGCAUACGUCCUACGGGGGAAAGUGGGGGAGCUUCGGACCUCACGCUAUCAGAUGCGCCUAGGUCGGAUUAGCUAGCUGGCGGGGUAAAGGCUCACCAAGGCGACGAUCCGUAACGGGUCAGAGAGGAUGAUCAGUCACACUGGAACUGAGACACGGGCCAGACUCCUACGGGAGGCAGCAGUGGGGAAUAUUGGACAAUGGGCGAAAGCCUGAUCCAGCCAUGCCGCGUGUGUGAAGAAGGUCUUCGGAUUGUAAAGCACUUUAAGUUGGGAGGAAGGGCAGUCAGUUAAUACCUGGUUGUUUUGACGUUACCAACAGAAUAAGCACCGGCUAACUUCGUGCCAGCAGCCGCCGUAACAC